GAGACCCACGCCAACAGUUGCCAGCACGUUCUCCGGAAUGGUGGGGACACUGUUGGGACCGCCUCUGCUAAAGAGGAGGAAGGAAUGGGCAACGGUAGGUCAGCAUGCCCCGAAUUACCCGGGCUACACGCGGGCUACAAUGGACAGGACAAUGGGAAUCGACACCGAGAGGUGAAGGCAAUCCCCUAAACCUGCCCUUAGUUCGGAUUGUGGGCUGCAACUCGCCCACAUGAAGCUGGAAUCCGUAGUAAUCGCGGAUCAACAUUCCGCGGUGAAUAC
rnacentral:rRNA from 1 species